UACGAAGGGGGCUAGCGUUGCUCGGAAUCACUGGGCGUAAAGGGCGCGUAGGCGGCGUGUCAAGUCAGGCGUGAAAACCCCGGGCUCAACCUGGGAACCGCGCUUGAGACUGGCAUGCUCGAGUUCGGGAGAGGAUGGUGGAAUUCCCAGUGUAGAGGUGAAAUUCGUAGAUAUUGGGAAGAACACCGAUGGCGAAGGCAGCCAUCUGGACCGACACUGACGCUGAGGCGCGAAAGCGUGGGGGAGCAAACAGG
rnacentral:rRNA from 1 species